GAUGAACGCUGGCGGCGUGCCUAAUACAUGCAAGUCGAGCGAACAGACGAGGAGCUUGCUCCUCUGACGUUAGCGGCGGACGGGUGAGUAACACGUGGAUAACCUACCUAUAAUACUGGGAGAACUUCGUGAAACCGGAGCUAAUACCGGAUAAUAUAUUGAACCGCAUGGUUCAAUAGUGAAAGACGGUUUUGCUGUCACUUAUAGAUGGAUCCGCGCCGCAUUAGCUAGUUGGUAAGGUAACGGCUUACCAAGGCAACGAUGCGUAGCCGACCUGAGAGGGUGAUCAGCCACACUGGAACUGAGACACGGUCCAGACUCCUACGGGAGGCAGCAGUAGGGAAUCUUCCGCAAUGGGCGAAAGCUUGACGGAGCAACGCCGCGUGAGUGAUGAAGGUCUUCGGAUCGUAAAACUCUGUUAUUAGGGAAGAACAACUGUGUAAGUAACUAUGCACGUCUUGACGGUACCUAAUCAGAAAGCCACGGCUAACUACGUG
rnacentral:rRNA from 1 species